rnacentral:rRNA from 1 species
UACGUAGGGUGCAAGCGUUGUCCGGAAUUAUUGGGCGUAAAGAGCUCGUAGGCGGUUUGUCGCGUCUGCUGUGGAAACCCGAGGCUCAACCUCGGGCCUGCAGUGGGUACGGGCAGACUAGAGUGCGGUAGGGGAGAUUGGAAUUCCUGGUGUAGCGGUGGAAUGCGCAGAUAUCAGGAGGAACACCAAUGGCGAAGGCAGAUCUCUGGGCCGUAACUGACGCUGAGGAGCGAAAGCGUGGGGAGCGAACAGG